GACGUAGGGCGCGAGCGUUGUCCGGAUUUAUUGGGCGUAAAGCGCACGUAGGCGGUUUGUUAAGUCGGAUGUGAAAUCCCUCGGCUCAACUGAGGAAGUGCAUCCGAAACUGGCAGGCUUGAGUACUAAAGAGGGUCGCGGAAUUCCCGGUGUAGAGGUGAAAUUCGUAGAUAUCGGGAGGAACACCGGUGGCGAAGGCGGCGACCUGGGUAGAUACUGACGCUGAGGUGCGAAAGCGUGGGGAGCAAACAGG
rnacentral:rRNA from 1 species